CGUGUUGUGGCUUUGUAACUUCCAUUUCAACAAACAUUUCUUCCUUGCUGAUCACUAAACGCUGCAAAAACCUCAAAAGACGGUCAGGAAGCGGUUUUGUGAUACCCUCCAACCGGUACCACUUUCACCGUUUUCCACAAUGGGUUAGUAAGCUCCAAAACCAAUACCAAAGACUGAAAAAUCCCGGUAUAGUGUUCGUUCAUAUCUUAGCUUCAGAAAUUUAAGGACACCAUGCAAAUCUUUCGUGUAUCUGGUGGUGAGUAGGAAACAUCAUUAUGGAUUGUAUGGGAUUGUAUAGUUUGGUUCUGGAUGUUACAAAGACACGAUGUUGGACUGUGGAACUGGGUCACAUCUUAGGUUCGGAAAUUUAAGGACACCGUACAGGUCUUUCGUGUGUCUGGUGGUGAGUAGAAAACAUCAUUAUGGAUUGUAUGGGAUUGUGUAGUUUGGUUCGGGAUGUUACAAAGACACGAUGUUGGACUGUGGAACUGGGUCACAUCUUAGGUUCAGAAAUUUAAGGACACCGUACAGGUCUUUCGUGUGUCUGGUGGUGAGUAGAAAACAUCAUUAUGGAUUGUAUGGGACUGUAUAGUUUGGUUCGGGAUGUUACAAAGACACGAUGUUGGACUGUGGAACUGGGUCACAUCUUAGGUUCAGAAAUUUAAGGACACCGACAGGUCUUUCGUGUGUCUGGUGGUGAGUAGAAAACAUCAUUAUGGAUUGUAUGGGACUGUAUAGUUUGGUUCGGGAUGUUACAAAGACACGAUGUUGGACUGUGGAACUGGGUCACAUCUUAGGUUCAGAAAUUUAAGGACACCGUACAGGUCUUUCGUGUGUCUGGUGGUGAGUAGAAAACAUCAUUAUGGAUUGUAUGGGAUUGUGUAGUUUGGUUCAGAAUGUUACAAAGACACGAUGUUGGACUGUGGAAUCGGGUCUAGGCAUCUAUCACAAUCCGCUUCUGUCACGAGGCUGCUGACGACGUGAAACUGCGGGGAUAAGUUUCAUGUCUGUGUGUUGGGUUGUGAGUGUUUCAUCGGCAGAGACUCGCUCACUGCCAAGGUCUGGGGUAUGUGUCCCAAUCUGUACUCGCUCUUCCAAUUUGUACUCAUACCAAAAAUGAAAUAGCUUGGAAAAUUGGACUAAGGUGUAAAGUUAAGUAUUGUUAAAGUAGAGACUGAUACAAACACACACAAGCUCAUUUUUCCCUGUAGUACAAGCUCAAUUUCCCAUAUACACAACUGACCUCAUCUUCCAUAUACUCAAAAGCUCAAUCCUACACUCAAUUAUCUAUAAACUCAAGCUCAAUUUUCCCUGUAGUACAAGCUCAAUUCCCUUAUACAAAACUGACCUCAUUUUCCAUAUACUCAAGAGCCCAUAACCUAAGCUCAGUUAUCAAUAAACUCAAGCUCGAUUUCCCUGUAGUACAAGCUCAAUUUCCCAUAUACAAGACUGGGCUCAUUUCCUGUAUACUCAAGAGCCCAUAACCUAAGCUCAAUUAUCUAUACACUUAAGCUCAAUUUCCUUUAUACAAAACUGACCUCAUUUCCUGUUUACUCAAGAGCCCAUAACCUAAGCUCAAUUAUCUAUACACUCAAACUCAAUUUCCUUUAUACAAAACUGACCUCAUUUCCUGUUUACUCAAGAGCCCAUAACCUAAGCUCAGUUAUCAAUAAAUUCAAGGUCGAUUCCCUGUAGCUCAAUUUCCCUAAUACAAUACUGACCUCAUUUUCUGUACACUCGAGCCCACAACCUACAAUCAAGCUUAUUUUCAACAGUACUAUUUUCCUGGUGAGUACAAAUUGGAACCUUACAUACAGAUUAGCGUAGUGACUGAACACCUGAAGAACGCCUUGACUCCCGAGGUAACGAACGAGUGAGCACCUUUGUGAGGCCGCCCCAGGACAGCCCCGCCCCAGAUCACAAUAAUGAAGUGUGCCGGGGCCUGACAUCCGACUCCUGGGGGCUGCAUGGACUAAGGGUCAUGUUCUAACACACUUCUGCAUCCAAUAUAACCAUAAUGUAUCAACCAAACCAGACUCAAAAUACAUAUUAAAGUUUGACAAAGGUUUCGUAGGAGUUUGAGGUAUUUCCAUGGGUAGUUUUAUGAUCCUGGUGGUAGUGUGACCCUUUCCUCUGUACCAUGAACCUAAAACAAUACAUCAACCAAACCAGACUCAAAACACAUAUUAAAGUUUGACAAGGGUUUUGUAAGAGCUUCAGGCAUUUCCAGGGGUAGUUUUAUGAUCCUGGUGGUAGUCUGACCCUUCUUCUGUACCAUGAACCUAAAACAAUAGUCAUUAGAUGUGGGUUAAUCUCUGUUUUGGCCUUUGUAAGAGUUUGGGGCACUUCCAAGGGUAGUUUUAUGAUCCUGGUGAUAGUUUGACCCUUUCCUCUGUACCAUGAACCUAAACCAAUAGUCAUUAGAAGUGGGUUAAUCUCUGUUUUGGCCUUUGUAAGAGUUUGGGGCACUUCCAAGGGUAGUUUUAUGAUCCUGGUGGUAGUUUGACCCUUUCCUCUGUACCAUGAACCUAAAGCAAUAGUCAUUAGAAGUGGGUGAAUCUCCGUUUUGGCCGUGGGAAGUGGUUCAUAUGGGCGUCGGAAGUGUCUGAGAAUAGCACCCUAAACGCCAGCUUGGGGAAGUGAGGUGAAGGAAGUCAUGUAACGAACUGUGUGGGAGCUCUUAACCCAGUAGCUGCGGGGACCAUGUUUCUUAAUGGCCCCUCCAAGCGAGAAAAAUGAGAAAAAAUCCGCAAACCAUUUCAUAAUAUGUUUCAACGCAUUUGUGAUCAUUUUAUGCAUCAUCUAUUUUUGGGGGUCUUUAUCAUGGCACAAAUCUGGCCCGUCGCUGGUACACCGUAAAGCCUCAAAUUUGGCCCGACGCCGCUAACAGGUUAAAAGUCACAUCCACACUGCCAUGGACAGAGUAGUAACAUAACAUAAGCUUGUAACCACAACGUAACAAACUGUGUGGUAGCUUGUAACACACAGAGACAGUUACGCAUUCACACGGGCAUGAACAUAUAUAAACAUCGUAACAUUCCCUCAUUAGUAGGAUCGGUAAUGUGACAUAAACUAAUAGCCAUGUAACGGAAGGUGUGGCAGCUCGUAACACAUUCACAUUCUCACUAGCAUGGACAUAAACACUGUAGCAUCCCCUCAACAAUAAGGUCAGUAACACAAUCUCAUCUUGUAGCCAUAUAACGUACUGUGUGGGAGCUCAUAAGUCAUAUAUUCUCACUAGCAUGGACAUAAACACGGCAACAUCCCCUCACUGGUAAGAUCGCUAACAUAAUCUCAUCUUGUACCCAUAUAAUGAACUGUGUGGGAGCUCAUAAGUCAUAUAUUCACACUAGCAUGGAUAUAAACACGGCAACAUCCCCUCACUGGUAAGAUCGCUAACAUAAUCUCAUCUUGUACCCAUAUAAUGAACUGUGUGGGAGCUCAUAAGUCAUAUAUUCACACUAGCAUGGAUACAAACACGGCAACAUACCCUCAUUAGUAAGAUCAAGAACAUAACCUCAUCUUGUAGCCAUAUAAUGAACUGUGUGGGAGCUCAUAACAGUCACAUAUUCACACUAGCAUGUACAUUAACACGGCAACAUACCCUCAUUAGUAAGAUCGCUAACAUAAUCUCAUUUUGUAGCCAUGAAACGUGCUGUGUGGGAGCUCAUAACACAGUCACAUAUUCACACUAGCAUGUACAUAAACACGGUAACAUCCCCUCCAUGUUAAGAUCAGUGACACAUAAUACGUAUCAACUUGACACUUAAAACUCUCAUAAAUGGAUAGCAACUUGUAUUUGCCUCGGGUCUGCACUUUUGUAAAUACACCAUUGCAAGUGGUAUUAAAUGCACUCACACACGAACAUAUACACUCACACACACACACUCAUAACAUUAGAAGAUACAAGCACACAUGCAGUCACACAUACGCUAAAAAAAUCACAAGACAGUCGCUAUACAUUGUACAAACACGUGGGUAAGAUCAGAACCCUACUGACUUGUGCCCAUAAAGAUUUCUCUCUCUUGUGUGUGGUGUCUCGUGAAAAUUGCCAUACUUAGCUUCCAUAAAUGCAUCAAAGGGUUGAGUGAGUGGAUUAUACACUUGAAGGAGACAAUGCAACUAUACACUACAAAACCACUGUGUACGGAUGAGUUUGUGGUACGGUAAGUUUGUCAUCGUGAAAAUAUGGCGUGUUGGAGGCCGUGAGAGGACACAUCACGUCACAUACAUGAGAAACACAUACUAUGGACAUUAGGUAGAUUUGCUUCCUCGUAACUGUACAUCAUCGGCUAAAUAGAAGUGUGUCUUGGUGAGGAUAGGACAUUAGGUAGAUUUGCUUCCUCGUAACUGUACAUCAUCGGCUACAUAGAAGUGUGUCUUGGUGAGGAUAACCUUUGCAGACUUUGAGGAACUUGCACUUCGUUUAAGGACUGUAAAGGAACAUCAAAUGCUACAUGUACAAAGUUGGUGGUGUGUUGGUGGAGAAACUUUCAUUGUAAACCCGACAGAACUUGCCUUUUUCUUCUCCUCAGCACAGUACAGGGUCGUGAGGUUGAGUGUGAGCUUGUGGACUCUUCAAACAAACUUGCAAAUUCACUCAGUAGUAUUAAAAAAAGGGACAUCAGGUGCUAAACAGGUGGUGUGUGUCUUUAUCUCAGCACAGUAUAAGGGACAUUAGGUUGAGUGUGAGCUUGUGGACUCUUCAAACAAACUUGCAUCUUCACUCAGUAGUACACAAAAAAGGGAUGUCAGGUGCUAAACAGGUGGUGUGUGUCUUUAUCUCAGCACAGUAUAAGGGACAUUAGGUUGAGUGUGAGCUUGUGGACUCUUCAAACAAACUUGCAUCUUCUCUCAGUAGUACCUCAAAAAAUUGGGAACAUCAGGUGCUUUAUCAGUGGUGUGUGUCUAAAAAUCUCCACCAGCGUUGCAAGAUUGUCGCACUCAGAACUGCAUUUAUCAGUUUCAAACCCAAAACUCUCAUACCCACACUAAUAAAGAUAUUCAGUUAAAGUUAUUGUUAAAACCAUUAAUUUAGGGUGUUUUAUGCAAUAGUUAUGGGUCAGGAACGGAGAAUACUAUGUGCUAAGUACGAUGACCUGGCAACGCUGGUCUCCACACAGACUGUAAGGGUCGUAUUACUAAACAUUGCAUCGCCCAAGUUCACCUAUUUGACAAGGCUUUCGUACGAGUUUGGGGUAUUUUCACGAGUAGUUUUAUGACCCUGGUGGUAGUCUGACCCUUCCUCUGUACCGUGAACCUAAAGAAACACUCAUUAGAACCGGAUUGAUCCCCUCUUUGACCUUUAGAAAUAGUUGAUAUGAGAAGCGAGUGUGUCUUAUAAUACCGGACUAACAUUCUUGCACUCUUUUACUCUCACAGCUGUACAGACACAUCCUCCCUAACAUAAUUUACUCUGGACAUUUUAUCUUCCUCAUGACAUUGAAAGAAUACAUUGAGUGCUACUGUGAUGGGGUGAGUCUUGGUGUAGAAACCUUUGCAAACUCUACACACCUGUCCUUCUUUUCUCAGGACUGCAAAAAGACACACUGAGCUACGUAGAUGGUGUCAAGUCCUUGUCGAAACCCUCCACACAAAAUUAUACAAUAGUUUUUUCCUUCCCACUGGCCACGGCACUUUAUAGGAGCCACGUCUUGAGCAGGUGUGUGAUGCUAAGGUGCUGAUGUAGUGUUUGGGUACAUGUAAAGUGACACUCAUAAACAUUCUCAAAUUGCAUUGGACUACACAGAAGGAAGUUAUGACACCUCUCCUCCCGAAACUGACCUCUCUUUUGGCCACUCCUCUCAACUCUUUUACGGGAGCAGUGAUUUGCGGGCUUUUUUUUUCAUUAUUUUUUAUUUUUUAUUUUUUUUUACCCUUGAGCUGUUUCCUUUACUAUAAAAAAAUAAAAAAAUUAAUAAAAAAAAUAAAACAUGCACUGCCUCACACGUUCGACCACACAUCAUUUACCAAGAAUUAUGUCGUUGAUGAAAUACCUUUUUUUUAACUUUCUGGAAACACGUCACAUCCUCUUGACUUGACCAAACUCAGUCACAUAAUUACCAAAGAAUUCUAGCAAUGAAUCUAUGUUUUCUUUUGUACAUCUUUAUUCAAAUACCUCAGAUCCUUUCGACGCGACGGUGCUAUGCGGAACACCUUGUCAAAUCACUGUCUGCCCCUUUGCCCCACUCUUUGAAGAUUACCAAGUGUGUAGUAUUUGAAGGUAAACAAAAUGGAUCAAGAAUUACAAAAGAUAUAGUGUAUUAUGAGACAUUUCGUCGCCCAAGAACACAUAUUUAACAAGGCUUUCGUAGGAGUUGUAGGCAUUUCCAGGGGUAGUUUUAUGACCCUGGUGGUAGUUUGACCCUUCCUCUGUACUAUGAACCUGUAGAAACACUCAUUAGAACCCAAUUGACCCCCUCUUUGACCUUUAGAAAUAGGUAAUGUGAGAAGCGAAGGUGUCUUGUAAUACCCCCCAUAUUGUCCACAGGGAAUUUCUCAUUAAUUUCUUUUCUCCAUUAGUUUCCUAUCCUUCACUGACCUUAUAUAGAGACUCCAUCCUAUAGCAAUUCAACAAAGAACACAAAAACACCAAUGAUAGCUCUGCGUAAACCAUCGCAUUGACCAUUUUUUAAUUCUUCCCCAUCUUGCAACAACCAAACUCAAAGCACCCAUACUGCAAUCAAUUCACUGUUCCAAAUAUUCCCACGACAAAAAUUACAAAAUACUGAAACACAUGCAACUAAGUGUGAAAGUAAGUGCUGAUGUAAGUGUACCCGACAAUGUUCUGAGUAAGACGGUAUAAAUCAAGAAUAUCCGAACAGCCAAAUCCGGAAACAAAAAAUAACAAAUGACAAAAAGUACGCAACGAAAUGUGAAAAUAAGUGUUGAUACAAGUAUACCCGACAAUGUUCUGAGUUUGGCAGUAUAAAGCAAUAGGAUCCGAACAUUCAAAUCAGAAAAAAAAUAAAAUAAAUAAAAAUAUACGCAACCAAAUGUGAAAAUAAAUGCUGAUCUAAGUAUACCCAACAAUGUUCUGAGUUUGACAGUAUAAAGCAUUAAGAUCCAGACAUUGAAAUCAGAAACAAGCAUCAAUUUAAGAGAUAGACAUUGCUCUGAGUAGUAAUUCACUUGACACUAACAGGUACGUAACAAAAACCGAGUAAGUCAUAACAGCCAGUAACUUAAGUAACUGCCAAUGAUCUCAAUAGCUGCUUGUUUGGCACCUUCAACUAACAAGAAUUAAGCACUGCACCACCAAAUAUAAAUAAUAAAGUGAUCUACGUAAUUAACCCAGUAGCAGCAUCAGGCCAAAUUUGUGGCUUUACCGCGUGCCAGUGAUGGGCCAAAUUUGUGGCUUUACCGUGUACCAGUGACGGGCCAAAUUUGUGGCUUUACCGAGGCAAAGGGUCAAAUUUUUGCCUUGACGUAACAUCCCCCAAAAUAGAGGAUCCAUAAACUGAUUACAAAUACGUUGAUAUAUAUUUUAUAAUGAUUUGCAUGAGUGAUGGUUUUUUUUCUCAUUAAUUCGCUUAGAGGAGCCUUUUAAGAAACAUGAUCCCCGCAGCUACUGGGUUGAUGACAAUGAUAACCUCCUCUCUCGGCACUAUCCUUCAACAAGACAAAUGAAAAACACAACCAAAUGUAAUAAUAAUAAUAAUAAUAAUAAUAAUAAUAAUAAUAAGUAUAAUAAUAACAAUGACGGUACUUAUUUCUCCAAAGCGCCAAUUUUUCCCUAGACGACAAAACGAAGAAAACAAAACAAAAAAUAGAAAAAAAUAAUAGACAAAUAGAUAAAAAUAAAAAUUGUGACAGAUGAAAAUAGAAAUGGAAAAUAAAAAACAAGAAAAGUGAAAAUAAAAAGUGACUUCGACAAAAAUAGAAGCAGAAAAAAAUAAUAAAAAAAAUAAAAAAUAGCGACUUAGACGAAAAUAGAAAAAAAAAAUAGAAAAAAGAAAAUAAAAAUAAAUAAAUAAAGUCCCUUAGAAAUUGAUGUCCAGUGGAAUACAUAAUUAAUUCUCUCCCGCUAAGUAAAUAACCCCAACACAGCUCUCGGUAGACUAGCAUUUAAAUGACUAUGUAUUAUAACUAGAAAACAGUAUCACAAACCAUAUAUACAAAGCACCAUUCACGAAACACGAGAGAAGGAUAAAUAAAUAACUAAAUGCCCUUUGCCGCCACUACGAGAAAGUCUGAACGAUAUGGAUUUUUUUUUUAUCAUUAUUUAACAAGUUUUUCAAGAUGUCACGGUUUACGAUGAGACUGAAAUGCUCUCAAGUGACUGUAGGGGGAGUACCAGGCUAUUUUGUGAAGGGGUGUGUGCCAGCGUGAAGACGAAGGAAGAAGAAGAAGAAGAAGAAGAAGGAGAAGAAGAAGAAGAAGAAGAAGAAGAAGAAGAAGAAGAAGAAGAAGAA